rnacentral:rRNA from 1 species
AUUGAACGCUGGCGGCAGGCUUAACACAUGCAAGUCGAGCGAGCGGCGGACGGGUGAGUAAUGUCUGGGAAACUGCCUGAUGGAGGGGGAUAACUACUGGAAACGGUAGCUAAUACCGCAUACCAUCAGAUGUGCCCAGAUGGGAUUAGCUAGUAGGUGGGGGAAUGGCUCACCUAGGCGACGAGCCCUAGAUGGUCUGAGAGGAUGACCAGCCACACUGGAACUGAGACACGUUCCAGACUACUACGGUAGGCAGACGUGGGGAAUAUUGCACAAGGGGCGCAAGCCUGAUGCAGCCAGGCCGCGGGUGUGAAGAAGGCCGUCGGGUUGUAAAGCACUUUCAGCGAGGAGGCGUUACUCGCAGAAGAAGCACCGGCUAACUCCGUGCCAGCAGCCGCGGUAAUUC